rnacentral:misc_RNA from 1 species
GAUGAAGAACGCAGCGAAAUGCGAUACUUGGUGUGAAUUGCAGAAUCCCGUGAACCAUCGAGUCUUUGAACGCAAGUUGCGCCCGAAGCCAUCAGGUUGAGGGCACGUCUGCCUGGGCGUCACAUAUCGUUGCCCAAUGCCUAUUGCAGUGCAAUAGGAAUUUCUAGGGCGAAUGAUGGCUUCCCGUGAGCGUUGUUGCCUCGCGGUUGGUUGAAAAUCGAGUCCUUGGUAGGGUGUGCCAUGGUAGAUGGUGGUCGAGUUAGAACGAUACCGAUCAUGUGCAUGCUCCCCAAAAUAUGGCCUCUCUGACCCACACGCGUCUUUUGACGCUCAUGACGAGACCUCAGGUCAGGCGGGGCUACCCGCUGAAUUUAAGCAUAUCAAUAAGCGGAGGA